rnacentral:rRNA from 1 species
CACGGGGGGAGCAAGCGUUGUUCGGAAUCACUGGGCGUAAAGGGCGUGUAGGCGGUCAGGUAAGUGGGAUGUGAAAUGCCCCGGCUCACCCGGGGACCGGCAUCCCAAACUGCUUGGCUUGAGUAUGGGAGAGGAUGAGGGAAUUCCUGGUGUAGCGGUGAAAUGCGUAGAUAUCAGGAGGAACACCGGUGGCGAAGGCGCUCAUCUGGCCCAAUACUGACGCUGGAGGCGACGAAAGCCUAGGGGAGCAAACGGG